UUAAUUGAAACCAAAAUAGAGGUAUAUCACUGUUAAUGAUAUUAAUGAAAUGAAAUUUCCAAUUAAA
rnacentral:tRNA from 1 species